rnacentral:misc_RNA from 1 species
GUAUCUUGUUCGGUUUCACUUCUGCGAUAUAAUGAGUAAUGAAAUUUCCCAGCUAUACUUCAAUGUUUAUGUUGAUUCUUGGCUUCUUGUCAAGGAUCUUAAUCCUAAUUAUUUUUCAUAUACCCUUUUGGCGAAUGCGAUUUAUAUGGAUUUUGUUUCAGCUUUAAAUGUCAGCAAUAAGCUUCGGGUGAAUAUUGGUCCAAGCUCCAUCCCAAAUGUUCUUCCCAAUGCCAUUCUAAAUGGGUUGGAUAUAAUGAAAAUGAACAAUUCCCUG